UAUCUGAAAAGUUCAUAUAAGCUUCCUAUGAAAAGCUGGCUAUAACAACUUUUCUGAAAUCGGUGAGAGGAGAGUGUUAUAAAUUAUCUUAGAAGAAUGUGUAACAAAAAAAGAUGCAGAUAUUGAGAUUUUUCAAAAAAAACUUUUUUUACUUCUGUUUUCACUUUGAGCUUGAGAUUAACUUUGUACGUCAAACCACAAAAUUUAAACUAACAUCAACUUAGCUUGGAAUGAUUUCUGAACUUACAGUAUUUGACAAGCAAACUUUUCCUUUCUUGGGCUUGGAUGGGUGAAGUAAUUUAGUCGAACAUACAAUUGUUCAAUAAUGUUCUGGGAAACUUUCUAGUUGCCUAGCAUGUUCUGGGAAACUUACAAGUUACCAAGCAUGUACUGAGUUUGUCUGGUACAGAUUUAUCCCGGCACCUGGGACCCUUCUGCAUCAACUGUGAGCCUGUAAGCUUCCAACCAACUAAACCUGUUGCAGUUCUUCCACUAUUGCCCAACACCUGAGUACCUGACAUACUUGCCAUACUCAGUGCCCGGGACUGCACAUGGAGCGUAUUCAAUGUCAUAGCAUGUAAGCUAGAGACGUGACCUUCAUCUUCUUCUUGGGUAUCUGAUCAAUCUGCAGAAGUCACAUUUAGUUUUCUAACCUAACAUUUCCACAAAAGACAGUUUUUAGAGUGGCCCAAUUGAUUUGGUCAAGAUAUGAAGCUUCAGUGCUUUAUUUUUUCGUACUAUUUCAUCUCUAGGUUAAGUAAGUCGGUGCAAUAUAAUUAUUGAUCAUUUUGAUACAAACAGUUUAAAUAACUGUCAAUAUUGGUUUGCUCUGUCUAUGUCUCACAUUGGUACUAUAGACUGGCCCUCCCUAUCUACUCACUUUAUUGUCGUCAUGGUCCAGCAUGUGCCGAGUUUCUUCCUUCAGUAACACGGUAUUGGAGGUCCUGAUCUGAUUCAUGAAUCUACAGGUACAAGGUAUAUGAAUCGCCGCAUUAUGAAACUAUGUAGAGGAUGGGCACAGGGUUCAUGGACCCACUUUGCAUUUCGCCAAGUAGAGGUCCAAGUGUUGAAUCAGACGGCCUAGAACAUGCAGUGUACUCAUUGCUGAGCGAUUCACCCUGAUGAGCUUUGGUGGUGGUGGGGGUACAUGCAUGUGCUUAGUUAAUGCCUUAAUGGCGAUGCCAUCUUCCCUCCUAUCAACGCUCCCCAUACAGCCUCCAGCUCUCAUUUAUGCAACUAUACAAGUAGAUGUUUUCUUGCAGGACCCAUGGAUCUCAGAGCAGCCAAAGACUGGACACCAGAAUACUGUGGGUUUGUCCUUGGUUCAUAGUCAUAUUUGUUCAUUCAUCCUGUCAAAAUCACAUAUCUGAUCAUUACUGAGCCUGCGAAUCUUGAGAAAACCAGACUUCUUCCAACAAAGCAACAAUCAUAGGACUUCGGCAAUCGGCACUGGGAACAUCUGAAGCCGGUGAUAGGUAGACAGGCAGUAUGGGAAGAUCAGAACGCAACAUCAGCCUUCAGCCCCAUGAUGGAUGCUCAUCUUCAGAGAGAUGUCCAAUCACCGUGGCAUGUUUGCAAUUCUAAACCCAAGCAGAUGUGACCAUUCUCAAUGGCUAUCCAUGGAUAUCAUCCCCUUGUGUUGUGUAGGAUGAAGUCAUAUGGACUUGGAUGGAGAUGGAGUUAGUGCAGCUGCAAGCUUAACUGAAGCCAUCACCUAAGCUGGUGCCAUGUCAUUUUCCAUAGUCUGGGCAUAGAAAAAACUGCAUUGUGUGUCGCCGCCUCAUGUAUUGCGAGGAAAAAGACAUGAUGAUCCUGUAUUUGUGCGCAUAAUACAGUGUGUGUACCCUAUAUGUCGUCAGUUGUAGAAAAUAUAAUAGAAGAACUGACAGAGUGACAGUGUACA